AUACAGAGGGUGCGAGCGUUAAUCGGAUUUACUGGGCGUAAAGCGCGCGUAGGUGGUUGAUUAAGUCAAAUGUGAAAUCCCCGAGCUUAACUUGGGAAUUGCAUUCGAUACUGGUUAGCUAGAGUAUGGGAGAGGAUGGUAGAAUUCCAGGUGUAGCGGUGAAAUGCGUAGAGAUCUGGAGGAAUACCGAUGGCGAAGGCAGCCAUCUGGCCUAAUACUGACACUGAGGUGCGAAAGCAUGGGGAGCAAACAGGAUUAGAUACCCUGGUAGUCCAUGCCGUAAACGAUGUCUACUAGCCGUUGGGGGAUUUGAUCCUUUAGUGGCGCAGCUAACGCGAUAAGUAGACCGCCUGGGGAGUACGGUCGCAAGACUAAAACUCAAAUGAAUUGACGGGG
rnacentral:rRNA from 1 species